rnacentral:rRNA from 1 species
CGACCGGCGCACGGGUGCGUAACGCGUAUGCAACCUACCUCUUACUGGGGAAUAGCCCAUAGAAAUGUGGAUUAAUGCCCCAUAGUAUUAUUUAAUCGCAUGAUUUGAAUAAUUAAAGGUUACGGUAAGAGAUGGGCAUGCGUCCUAUUAGCUAGAUGGUAAGGUAACGGCUUACCAUGGCAACGAUAGGUAGGGGGCCUGAGAGGGUGAUCCCCCACACUGGUACUGAGACACGGACCAG